AAGGAUUCCCCUAGUAACUGCGAGUGAAGCGGGAAAAGCUCAAAUUUAUAAAUCUGACGAGUCUCUUUGGUCGUCCGAGUUGUAAUCUAAAGAAGUGUUAUCCGCGUUGGACCGUGUACAAGUCUCCUGGAAUGGAGCGUCAUAGCAGGGUGAGAAUCCCGUCUUUGACACGGACUACCAGUGCUUUGUGAUGCGCUCUCAAAGAGUCGAGUUGUUUGGGAAUGCAGCUCAAAAUGGGUGGUAAAUUCCAUCUAAAGCUAAAUAUUGGCGAGAGACCGAUAGCGAACAAGUACCGUGAGGGAAAGAUGAAAAGAACUUUGGAAAGAGAGUUAAACAGUACGUGAAAUUGCUGAAAGGGAAACGCUUGAAGUCAGUCGCGUUGUCCGGGAAUCAACCUUGCUUUUGCUGGGUGUACUUUCCGGUUGACGGGUCAGCAUCAAUUUUGACCGUUGGAUAAAGUGUAGGGGAAUGUGGCAUCUUCGGAUGUGUUAUAGCCCUUGCUCGCAUACAACGGUUGGGAUUGAGGAACUCAGUACGCCGCAAGGCCGGGAAUUUAUUCUACGUUCGUACUUAGGAUGCUGGCAUAAUGGCUUUAAUCGACCCGUCUUGAAACACGGACCAAGGAGUCUAACAUGCCUGCGAGUGUUUGGGUGGAAAACCCGAGCGCGUAAUGAAAGCUGAAAGUUGAGAUCCCUGUCGUGGGGAGCAUCGACGCCCGGACCAGACCUUUUGUGACGGAUCUGCGGUAGAGCAUGUAUGUUGGGACCCGAAAGAUGGUGAACUAUGCCUGAAUAGGGUGAAGCCAGAGGAAACUCCUGGUGGAGGCUCGUAGCGAUUCUGACGUGCAAAUCGAUCGUCAAAUUUGGGUAUAGGGGCGAAAGACUAAUCGCAACCAUCUAGUAGCUGGUUCCUGCCGAAGUUUCCCUCAGGAUAGCAGAAACUCAUUUCAGAUUUAUGUGGUAAAGCGAAUGAUUAGAGGCCUUGGGGUUGAAACAACCUUAACCUAUUCUCAAACUUUAAAUAUGUAAGAACGAGCCGUCUCUUGAUUGGACCGCUCGGCGAUUGAGAGUUUCUAGUGGGCCAUUUUUGGUAAGCAGAACUGGCGAUGCGGGAUGAACCGAACG
rnacentral:rRNA from 1 species